rnacentral:rRNA from 1 species
UAAUACGGAGGGGGCGAGCGUUAUUCGGAAUUAUUGGGCGUAAAGGGCGCGUAGGCGGCUUGACAAGUCAAAGGUGAAAUCCCUCGGCUCAACUGAGGAACUGCCUUUGAAACUGUCUGGCUUGAGGCCGGGAGAGGGUAGCGGAAUUCCCAGUGUAGCGGUGAAAUGCGUAGAUACUGGGAGGAACACCGGUGGCGAAGGCGGCUACCUGGACCGGUUCUGACGCUGAGGC